AUUGGAUGAGCCCGCGGCCUAUCAGCUUGUUGGUGGGGUAACGGCCCACCAAGGCUUCGACGGGUAGUUGGCGUGAGAGCGUGGCCAACCACACUGGGACUGAGACACGGCCCAGACUCCUACGGGAGGCAGCAGUGGGGAAUAUUGCGCAAUGGGCGAAAGCCUGACGCAGCGACGCCGCGUGCGGGAUGAAGGCCCUCGGGUCGUAAACCGCUUUCGGCAGGGACGAAGCGAGAGUGACGGUACCUGCAGAAGAAGUCCCGGCUAACUACGUGCCAGCAGCCGCGGCCGAU
rnacentral:rRNA from 1 species